GGGGAAGGUGGUGCUUGCACCCCGCUGACGAGCGGCGGACGGGUGAGUAAUGCAUAGGAAUCUGCCCAGUAGUUGGGGAUAGCCCGGGGAAACCCGGAUUAAUACCGAAUACGCCCUACGGGGGAAAGCAGGGGAUCUUCGGACCUUGCGCUAUUGGAUGAGCCUAUGUCGGAUUAGCUAGUUGGUGGGGUAAUGGCCUACCAAGGCGACGAUCCGUAGCUGGUCUGAGAGGAUGAUCAGCCACAUCGGGACUGAGACACGGCCCGAACUCCUACGGGAGGCAGCAGUGGGGAAUAUUGGACAAUGGGGGCAACCCUGAUCCAGCCAUGCCGCGUGUGUGAAGAAGGCUUUCGGGUUGUAAAGCACUUUCAGUGAGGAGGAAAACCUUAAGGUUAAUACCCUUGAGGCUUGACGUUACUCACAGAAGAAGCACCGGCUAACUCCGUGCCAGCAGCGGGGGGUAAUAAGC
rnacentral:rRNA from 1 species